CGGAACCAUCACCACUACGUGGAUCUCCUCCAGUGGUUUUUGGCUCGGGAGGACAACUACAAACUGCCGUCCAACUGGCUCCCGAACCUCAACUAUAUCUUGCGGGAGGACAUUCUUGCUGUUGCCGGUCUCAGCAGGAUUUUUGACAGGGGUAGGUGUCUUUCGGCUGGGACCGUGCUUUAGUAAGUUUGUCCUCCUCCUUUUUGUCUCGUUUUAUUGACUUUGUUUUGUGCUUUGUUUCUGCAGAGUACGGCUUUAGCUGCGUUGAUCCUGUGGUCUUGGGAAUUUCUUUGGAUCUGAAGACCAUUCACGACUCGGCCCCUGAUUACAAGUUCGGGAAGGAGAAUCCUCGUAAUCCUCGCUUGAAGGAUUACGUGCUGUCUCCGUCGGGUGUCGCUCGGAUAUCUGAAGUUCGAGCUGAUCCGUGGGAUUCUGCCUCUUCUCCCGAAGCUGUUCCAGUGAAAGUCGUGCUCCCUGAUUUGAGGACAACCUCGGAUCCGGAUCAGCGCAAAAGGAAGGGCAGCACUCUUUUGAGGCCUUCUGCGCAUCCGAAGAAAGCGAAAGCUUCUCAGUCUUCGGAGAAGGAAGCGGUUUCGGAAGUCAUGCCUCCUCCCAAAAAUCUCCUUCACUUCAUGCCCUUGCCAGGGCAGAAGUUGAAGAGUGUGGUGGUUGCGGAACCGCCGCCCGUGGACCAACCGUUGGCUGAGGAAGAUACCAUCCCCUCUCCGCUGAAGCCGUCUGCUGCUUUAGGGAUCGAGAUCCAGGAUAUAACCAAGGUGAUGGAGGCAAUUGAAGCCGACCUUGUUCCUGGCUCGGA